CCUANGGGGGGCUGCAGUCGAGAAUAUUCCACAAUGGACGAAAGUCUGAUGGAGCGACGCCGCGUGCGGGAUGAAGGCCCUUGGGUUGUAAACCGCUUUUAUAUGGGAACAAUUUAUAUGAGGGUACCAUAGGAAUAAGAGGUUACUAACUCUGUGCCAGCAGUAGCGGUAAUACAGAGACCUCAAGCGUUAUCCGGAUUUAUUGGGCGUAAAGCGCAUGUAGGCGGUCUUGUUAGUCAGAUGUCAAAUCUUCGAGCUCAACUCGAAAACUGCAUUUGAAACGGCAAGACUCGAGGCAGUGAGAGACCAGUGGAACAUAUGGUGUAGCAGUGAAAUGCGUUGAUAUCAUAUGGAACACCCAAGGCGAAGGCAUCUGGUUGGCACUGUCCUGACGCUGAGAUGCGAAAGUGUGGGUAGCGAAUGGGAUUAGAUACCCCUNUANUC
rnacentral:rRNA from 1 species